rnacentral:rRNA from 1 species
UACGAAGGGGGCUAGCGUUGCUCGGAAUCACUGGGCGUAAAGGGUGCGUAGGCGGGUUUUAAGUCAGAGGUGAAAUCCUGGAGCUCAACUCCAGAACUGCCUUUGAUACUGAAAGUCUUGAGUAUGGGAGAGGUGAGUGGAACUGCGAGUGUAGAGGUGAAAUUCGUAGAUAUUCGCAAGAACACCAGUGGCGAAGGCGGCUCACUGGCCCAUUACUGACGCCGAGGCGCGAAAGCGUGGGGAGCAAACAGGG